GACGAACGCUGGCGGCGUGCUUAACACAUGCAAGUCGAACGGAAAGGUCCUGCUUGCCGGGUACUCGAGUGGCGAACGGGUGAGUAACACGUGGGUGAUCUGCCCUGCACUUCGGGAUAAGCUUGGGAAACUGGGUCUAAUACCGGAUAGGAACCAUCUUUAGUGUGGUGGUUGGAAAGUUUUUUCGGUGUAGGAUGAGCUCGCGGCCUAUCAGCUUGUUGGUGGGGUAAUGGCCUACCAAGGCGGCGACGGGUAGCCGGCCUGAGAGGGUGUACGGCCACAUUGGGACUGAGAUACGGCCCAGACUCCUACGGGAGGCAGCAGUGGGGAAUAUUGCACAAUGGGCGCAAGCCUGAUGCAGCGACGCCGCGUGGGGGAGGAAGGCCUUCGGGUUGUAAACUCCUUUCGCUAGGGACGAAGCUUUUUGUGACGGUACCUAGAUAAGAAGCACCGGCUAACUACGUG
rnacentral:rRNA from 1 species